GUGAGGAAUAUUGGUCAAUGGGCGGGAGCCUGAACCAGCCAAGUCGCGUGAAGGAAGAAGGAUCUAUGGUUCGUAAACUUCUUUUGCAGGGGAAUAAAGUGCGGGACGUGUCCUGUUUUGUAUGUACCCUGAGAAUAAGGAUCGGCUAACUCCGUGCCAGCAGCCGCGGUAAUACGGAGGAUCCGAGCGUUAUCCGGAUUUAUUGGGUUUAAAGUGUGCGUAGGUGGUUUGAUAAGUCAGCGGUGAAAGUUUGCAGCAUAACUGUAAAAAUGCCGUUGAAACUGUCGGACUUGAGUGUAAAUGAGGUAGGCGGAAUGCGUGGUGUAGCGGUGAAAUGCAUAGAUAUCACGCAGAACUCCGAUUGCGAAGGCAGCUUACUAAGCUACAACUGACACUGAAGCACGAAAGCGUGGGGAUCAAACAGGAUUAGAUACCCCUGUAGUCC
rnacentral:rRNA from 1 species